GCGGCGGAGUUAAAAGCUGAUUUCCCACCAAUAAAGAAGGACUACAUUUUAAGACACACAAAAAAAUAUUCCUAAAAGAAAACGAAACUGAUUGAAAUAAUAUACAGAAAAAGAAAGAAGAAAGAAAAUAGAUCCAGGGGAUAUAGAGACUAGACAAUAGUUCUAAAACCCUAUAAAAGAAGAAAGAAGAAGAGUUGAAAGCCUCGGCGGAUUCCAUGAAAAUUUUUAUGUUUUUUUUUCUCGUUGGGUAAUUACUAGAGGCUCAAAGGGUUGUAUGGGAUCUGAAAAUACAGUCGAGGAAUUGACACAAGUGGAGUUCAUGAAAUUUAUAGUAGUCAUCCAGCAUAGCACUGCAUCAAGCAACACCAUGGCCCAUGUGCUGUGAACUUCAGCAAAGGUCAGCGAAUCUGCUACUCUUUUCUGGUA